rnacentral:rRNA from 1 species
AACCUCUUUUAGCAGGGAAGAAGCGAAAGUGACGGUACCUGCAGAAAAAGCGCCGUCUAACUACGUGCCAGCAGCCGCGGUAAUACGUAGGGCGCAAGCGUUAUCCGGAAUUAUUGGGCGUAAAGAGCUCGUAGGCGGUUUGUCGCGUCUGCUGUGAAAUCCGGAGGCUCAACCUCCGGCCUGCAGUGGGUACGGGCAGACUAGAGUGCGGUAGGGGAGAUUGGAAUUCCUGGUGUAGCGGUGGAAUGCGCAGAUAUCAGGAGGAACACCGAUGGCGAAGGCAGAUCUCUGGGCCGUAACUGACGCUGAGGAGCGAAAGGGUGGGGAGCAAACAGGCUUAGAUACCCUGGUAGUCCACCCCGUAAACGUUGGGAACUAGUUGUGGGGUCCAUUCCACGGAUUCCGUGACGCAGCUAACGCAUUAAGUUCCCCGCCUGGGGAGUACGGCCGCAAGGCUAAAACUCAAAGGAAUUGACGGGGACCCGCACAAGCGGCGGAGCAUGCGGAUUAAUUCGAUGCAACGCGAAGAACCUUACCAAGGCUUGACAUAUACGAGAACGGGCCAGAA